UGCCAGCCGCCGCGGUAACACGAACCGUACGAACGUUAUUCGGAAUUAUUGGGCUUAAAGGGUGCGUAGGCGGCGCUGUAAGUCGGGUGUGAAAUCCCACGGCUCAACCGUGGAAUUGCGCCCGAUACUGCAGUGCUUGAGGGAGACAGGGGUGAGUGGAACUGAUGGUGGAGCGGUGAAAUGCGUUGAUAUCAUCAGGAACACCGGUGGCGAAAGCGGCUCACUGGGUCUCUUCUGACGCUGAGGAGCGAAAGCGUGGGGAGCAAACAGGAUUAGAUA
rnacentral:rRNA from 1 species